CAACCUUUCCCGAGAGGGCUGCAGCCCUGGACUGAGAGGCAUCAGGCAGGAAUCCGUCACCAGAUGGCCGGGUCUCGGGGCGUCACAGGCCCCACCCCCCGCCAUGGCGCUGCACACGGGCACUGUGCCCUGUCCACCCUGAGGGACGGCAUUGGGGCCUCCCUGCACCUCCCCAUAAUGGCCUGCUGGCUCCCCUGGCCACAUCUCACUGCCCUCCAGGAGAAGGGUCCCAGCCACCCUGAUGGCAACAGGCCACAUGGGUGACAUCGAGGUCAGGAUGCGCGUGCCCCACCUCUCGGAGCCUCCCUGCAGGUGGCCACGGCUUUCAGCCUGACCCUCACCUCCACCUCACGGGGACCCCAUCCUGACCCCUCAUCCCCACUCUGGGAGUCUGACACUCCCAGCUGUUUCACCGCGGGUCUCACUACAGGACAGUUACUGCACUGCCAGCACCAUCUCCUUGUGCUACUGGCCAUGGGGGUGGACCAGAACCACCGCCAUGCAGGGUCACCCCUGGGUCACAAGCCCCAGCUCCUCCUGACCCCUCAGUGCUCUGAGGACCUCAUCCAAACACAUCCUCACCAGCCUGGGAUUCCAGCACCCCCUGCCCCAGUCUGAGCUCCCUGAGGGGCUGUCUGGGUCUUCAGAAGAGUGGAAGCACUUUGGCUGCUGGAUGGGCAGAGGGUAUUGGAAAUCGUACCCAGAGCCUUUAUACUGAACUGCAUCCUCGGCCUUUUUAAAAUUUUGAGACAGGGUUGUACUAAAUCACCCAGGCUGGGCUUGAACUUGUGAUCCUCCCGUCUCAGCCUCCCAGAAUGUGGGGAUGACAGACAUGGACCACCACACACAGCUAGAAGUGCUUGUUGAUGUUGUGCACUGUGGGGCAAGAUGACUGACUGGUGGAGGCCUAAGACUGAAGUGAUGCUGCCUACUCUGGAACCUCGAGGGGCAGCAGAGCCAGGGCCUCUGGCCGGCAGAGGGACAUCUGGGGCUGCAGAGUCAGUCUCUGAGGCCCGACAGUGAGGGGCAGAGGGGCCGGCGUUCUGCGGGAAGGCCCAAUAGAGUCAAGCAAGGGCUCUCGGGCCGCCACACCCCGAGCUCCACCAGCCGCUCACAUCCUUCCCUCCAGGAUCGAGGCCAACUCCCUGUCCGCUGGGAUCCACAGUGCUGCAGAGGAAAAGCCAUCGAGCCCAGAGCCACUGCCACUGGGCUCCCUCCACAAUCCCAGAAAGGCAGGCACCACUGCCCUCUUGGUCAGCGAGCAGGCUGUACCCAGAGAGGUUCCAGAACACACCCAGGUCACACAGCCACUGGGCAGCAGGGCCGAGACCUGAGCCAGGCCUGGAGAUCCCCGGUGCUCAGCUGCAAUGGCCCUCAGUGGAGUUUGUCACUGGCACAGCCCAGGGGCACAGGAAAUGCCGCCCACAGUGUUCACCCUGACCAACUGCCAGUGACCCCCAAGCUCUGCACCGGUCGGUGGCCAUGGCCUUGAACCCGGGCUGUCCUGGGCUCAGGCCCUCGGCUGUGCUGUGCGGGGCUACAGCGGGCUUCUCUGGGAAGCGGAGGUGCUGUGGACUUCAGCCCUCUGGCCCUGUCCCUUCCGCCUGUCAGCAGCCACCUCCCGCCCUCCACCACGGCCACCCACGCUGGAAAUCCCCACAGCGAAGUCAGCAGAGCGUGGCCGCCGUGCAGGAUGUCCUCGAGGCCACACCUCCCUCGGACGCACCUGAGGACCAGCAGCUUCCUUGGGCUCCCUCCUUGGCCCCCUGGACCUGAGAACCCGCUCUAACCAGGGACUGGGGCCGCCCAGCCCUCUGGCCUGUCUGUCACCUGUGAGUUGGGGACCAGAAGUCUCCGCAUUCUGAACAGGGGCUGCGAGGCACAGACAGUAACUGUUCGGACGAGUGCUGUCAGGGUUGGCACCCUCUGAGGAGUGCCAGGGCCUGUGCCCUCGCCUCCCGUCCAAAUCGCCCGUUCACGUGCAUGAGUCCCAGAUCCCAGGUGCCACCCUGAUCUCUGCCAUGGGAACCCUGCUGUCCCCUCUGGAGGUAGCCAGGACCUGUGCCGGAGCAGCCCUACCUGGACCAAGGUGCAGCCAACAGAAGACAUGGGUGCACAGAGCCAGGAGAGCGGGCCCUGACAGGCUCUGGCGAGCGCCUGGAUACAGCUGUGCCUGAAGGAGCUCCUCCUGCAGCCAGUAAAACCCUCUCAGUUUAAGUCAGGGGGAUUGCUUCUAACCGGUGUAACCUUAAAGGGGCUUAAAACACGAUUAAUGUGCCUC
rnacentral:lncRNA from 1 species